rnacentral:rRNA from 1 species
AUUGAACGCUGGCGGCAGGCCUAACACAUGCAAGUCGAACGAGUGGCGGACGGGUGAGUAAUGUCUGGGAAACUGCCUGAUGGAGGGGGAUAACUACUGGAAACGGUAGCUAAUACCGCAUACCAUCAGAUGUGCCCAGAUGGGAUUAGCUAGUUGGUGGGGUAACGGCUCACCAAGGCGAAGAUCCCUAGCUGGCCUGAGAGGAGGACCAGCCACACGUGAACUGAGACACGUGCCAGACUCCUACGGGGGGCAGCAGGGGGGAAUAUUGCAAAUGGGGCGCAAGCCUUAUGCACCCAUGCCGCGUGUAUUAAGAAGGCCUUCGGGUUGUAAAGUACUUUCAGCUGGGAGGCGUUACCCGCAGAAGAAGCACCGGCUAACUCCGUGCCAGCAGCCGCGGUAAUAC